CUGAAUUCAUUAAACAUGAAGUUCUUACAAGUUGUACUACUCGCUCUAGCGGCGCUCGUGGCUUCUGUGGCUGCAGGGCCCCGUCCAAUCCCGAAUAUACAGAAUCCUGUCGUGGUCGGGCGCAUCGCUGAGCCGAAUUUCGUGACGGUUCCCUUCAACUGCCCUCCUGGUCAGGAGAUGAGUACAGAUGGAGUUUGCCGUGAACCCUGGUAUGCUCCAGAAGAUGG
rnacentral:lncRNA from 1 species